ensembl:lncRNA LINC02877 long intergenic non-protein coding RNA 2877
GGCACAUAUUAAGCCUAGAAUGUGCUAGCCAAUGUGGUACUGGACUGACGUGGCUCAUGGAUCUCAUGGUGGGAACUACAUAGAGUGGACUUAUGAGAAAAGCCAGCUGGGGCUCCAGGAGCAUCACGGAGCAAAGAGAGAUAAGGCCCGAAGAUCCAGACUGAUGAUAAGCCUAAAGCUGGUGGAGGACAAUCACUACUGGAUUCUACCACAGAAGGCUGCAAACACGGCUGAGGAUUUUUACUAAAGUUACAAAAAUCAUUAUCGUUCUGGGGAAUCCACCUGCCAUGGUGAGUAGCACUACAAGAGAGGCCCAUGCAGCAAAGAAUUGAAACCUCUAAACAAUAGCCAUGUAAGUAAGUUUGGAAAUGGAUUCUUAGCCUAACCUUAGGAUAACUGUGGCCCCAGGCAAUAGCUGGACUGGAAUCUUAUAGAGAUUUUGCACCAAAACCGCUUAGCUCAUCUGCUACCAGAUUCCAGGCCCACAGAAGCCCUGAGAUUAAAAAAAUGUUUGA